rnacentral:rRNA from 1 species
UCCGUAGGCGGAUUGAUAAGUCAGUGGUGAAAUCUUCCGGCUCAACCGGGAACCUGCCAUUGAUACUGUUAGUCUUGAGUUCGGUUGAGGUAGGCGGAAUGUGUAAUGUAGCGGUGAAAUGCUUAGAUAUUACACAGAACACCAAUUGCGUAGGCAGCUUACUAGACCGACACUGACGCUGAGGCACGAAAGCGUGGGGAGCGAACAGGAUUAGAUACCCUGGUAGUCC